rnacentral:rRNA from 1 species
CCUACGGGAGGCAGCAGUGAGGAAUAUUGGUCAAUGGGCGCGAGCCUGAACCAGCCAAGUCGCGUGAGGGAAGACGGUCCUCUGGAUUGUAAACCCCUUCUGUCGGGGAGCAAAAGACGCUACGCGUGGCGUUCUGAGAGUACCCGAAGAAAAAGCAUCGGCAAACACCGUGCCAGCAGCCGCGGUAAUACGGGGGAUGCGAGCGUUAUCCGGAUUUAUAGGGGUAAAAGGGUGCGAAGGCGGAAGAUCAAGUCAGCGGGAAAAUUGAGGGGCUAAACCUCGACGAGCCGUUGAAACUGGUUAGCUUGAGUGAGGGAGAGGUAUGCGGAAUGCGUGGUGUAGCGGUGAAAUGCGUAGAUAUGACGAAGAACUCCGAUGGCGAAGGCAGCAUACCGGCGAUCAACUGACGCUCAGGCACGAAAGUGUGGGUAUCGAACAGGAUUAGAUACCCUUGUAGUC